rnacentral:rRNA from 1 species
AUUGAACGCUGGCGGCAUGCCUAACACAUGCAAGUCGAACGGCAGCAUGGUGUAGUGCUUGCACUACACUGAUGGCGAGUGGCGGACGGGUGAGUAACGCGUAGGAAUCUACCUUUAAGUUGGGGACAACCCGGGGAAACUCGGGCUAAUACCGAAUAGCAACUCUGCGGAGGAAAGCUGGGGACCUGGUAACAGGCCUGGCGCUUGAAGAGGAGCCUGCGUACGAUUAGCUAGUUGGCGGGGUAAAGGCCCACCAAGGCGACGAUCGGUAGCUGGUAUGAGAGGAUGACCAGCCACACUGGGGACUGAGAGACGGCCCAGACUCCUACGGGAGGCAGCAGUGGGGAAUAUUGGACAAUGGGGGCAACCCUGAUCCAGCGAUGCCGCGUGUGUGAAGAAGGCCUGAGGGUUGUAAAGCACUUUUGUUGGGGAAGAGAGGAGAGAGUUUAAGAGACACUGUCUGAGACAUUAACCAAAGAGUAAGCACCGGCUAACUCCGUGCCAGCCGCCGCCGUAACAC